rnacentral:rRNA from 1 species
AACAAACGCUGGCGGCGUGCCUAAUACAUGCAAGUCGAACGGGGAAAGCUUUCGGGUGAGUACUAGUGGCGCACGGGUGGGUAACGCGUGGAUAAUCUGCCUUAGAGUGGGGGAUAACUAGUCGAAAGAUUAGCUAAUACCGCAUAAGACCACAAGAACUGCGGUUCAAGGGGUCAAAGGUUUUUCGCUCUAAGAUGAGUCCGCGUAAGAUUAGCUAGUUGGUAGGGUAACGGCCUACCAAGGCGACGAUCUUUAACUGGUCUGGGAGGAUGAUCAGUCACCCUGGAACUGAGACACGGUCCAGACUCCUACGGGAGGCAGCAGUAGGGAAUACUGCACAAUGGAGGAAACUCUGAUGCAGCGACGCCGCGUGAGUGAUGAAGGCCUUCGGGUCGUAAAGCUCUGUCGCAGGGGAAUAACGCAAUGAAGGUACCCUGUAAGAAAGGAUCGGCUAACUUCGUGCCAGCAGCCGCGGUAAAAC